AAUGAAUGAAUGGUUGAAUGAAUGAAUGAAUGAAUGAAUCAUUGAAUACUGACUAUUUAAAUUAUGAAUACGUGACUUGUGAUCUGUCAAAUGAGCAUGCCAUUCUUUUUAAAUAUCCGUAAUCUUGCCAAGAUGCUGUCGACACACUAAAAGUGUUUUUAUUUUAUUUUUUAAUAGAAUAUAAUGAUUAUAACUGUGAUUCCGAUUUUGUUUCUAAUGUAUUGACGCAGAGUGAUGACGUACAAUUCAACGGACGGUUAGAAUGCGGUAGUUUUCAUUUAUGUGGAUCUAAAACACCCUUAUUCUUUUGAUUAAAAUAUGUGCUUUAAAAUAGUAUUUGAUUUGUCUACGUAAGCGAUCAACCAGCCGUUUCAGGCAUCGUAUUAUAACAAAGUAAUUUGUUAAAAACAUUAUGAUUUGUACCUCGAGUAUGAAUCGUAAAUUAUUUGCGUGAUUUUUUAAUAGGAAUUGUCUCGCAGGUUCAAACAAUUACGAUCAAGACGAAUUAACAUUGAACAAAUAUGUAAGUUAAAUCUUUUUACACGUGUUUGUCGAGCAAAAAAUAUAUAUGUUUAUAUUCUGAUCUUUUUUUUUAAACCAAUGCUGAGUCACUUUUCUAUAAAAUAAUCGCAUUACAAAACUAUGUUAUGUUUUCGAUAGUGAAUACGAGAGACAGGACACCGCUUCAAAUCAAGGUACAAUAUCCUUUUCUUAUAUCAUAUAUUAGAAAACAUUCCGCCAUGUACGGAUGUUGGAACCCUGCGUAACAUCCGUAUGUGACGUAACAUCCGCAUGUGACGUAACACUAUGCUACGCUAUGAACUCUGGGUAUUGAAGUCCGCUAGACUAUACGAUCCGUAAAAACCCUGCUGUGUUGAGAAUUACUGUGUAUUGAGAUUUACAAGGGUCUAUAGAGCGACCGAUAUUUAUUGACCUGACACAUGACGAGGAGGCUGGCUCCAGCAGCGCAUCUAUAGAUCUUACCGCGUCUGAAGAGGAGGUUGGCUCCAGCAGAGCGGUUCCGGACCCCUCAUUAUUAAUCGAAAGAAGUUGUGAUCUUACCGCGGGUGGUGACGCAGGCAGCGUAGUGGCAGAGCCGUCAUUAUUCAUCGAAAGGAGUUGUGAUCUUACCUCGGGUGGUGACGCAGGCAGCGUAGUGCCAGAGCCGUCAUUAUUCAUCGAAAGGAGUUGCGGAUCCGGUGACGAUGUGUCUAACUGGACAGAUACACAGCUGAACGUUUGGGAGCGUUCGUCUUGGUCCAGCGAGCGAGAGGAGAGGUCUCCAAUAAGGCGUCAGCAGACACCGUUAGCCGAACAAGAAGACAUCGCCGACGACGAAUGAUCAUCAUCGGUGAGGGGUAGACAGACACCGUUUGCUCUUCAAGCUCAAAAUACUGUCUCGCUAGAUCAACUCAACGCUAUCUUAAGGGAGUCUAAUAUUCCUUUACACGAGUCCAUUGACAGAC